rnacentral:rRNA from 1 species
UACGAAGGGGGCUAGCGUUGUUCGGAAUCACUGGGCGUAAAGCGCACGUAGGCGGAUGUGUCAGUCAGGGGUGAAAUCCCGGAGCUCAACUUCGGAACUGCCUUUGAUACAGCACAUCUGGAGUCCGGAAGAGGUGGGUGGAAUUCCUAGUGUAGAGGUGAAAUUCGUAGAUAUUAGGAAGAACACCAGUGGCGAAGGCGGCUCACUGGGACUGGUAUUGACGCUGAGGUGCGAAAGGCGUGGGGAGCAAACAGG